GGACACAGUGAGAGGGAGAGAGAGAGAGAGAGAGAGAGAGAGAGAGAGAGAGAGAGAGAGAGAGAAAGAUGGCUACAGUCACGGCGAACGGAGUGCAGCAGGAGAAUGGCUUCAGCACCACGAACAGCUCCAGCAGAAUGAACGGACUCAGCAUUGGGCAGAGCACCAUCCCCAUGAAGGACCACGACGCCAUCAAGCUCUUCAUCGGACAAAUACCGCGCAACCUGGAGGAGAAGGACCUCAAACCGCUCUUUGAGGAAUUUGGGAAGAUAUACGAACUCACCGUGCUCAAAGACAGAUUCACAGGAAUGCAUAAAGGAUGUGCCUUUCUAACUUACUGUGCCAGGGAGUCUGCACUGAAGGCUCAGAGUGCUCUUCAUGAACAGAAGACUCUGCCUGGGAUGAACCGGCCCAUCCAGGUGAAGCCAGCAGACAGCGAAGGACGGGGAGAAGACCGGAAGCUGUUUGUAGGGAUGCUGGGAAAGCAGCAGAGUGAGGACGACGUACGCAGGCUGUUUGAAGCGUUUGGGCAGAUUGAGGAGUGCACCGUGCUCCGGGGGCCUGAUGGGGCCAGUAAGGGCUGUGCCUUUGUGAAGUUUUCCAGCCAUGCAGAAGCGCAGGCAGCCAUCAACAGCCUCCAUGGUGGACAGACCAUGCCAGGGGCAUCCUCGAGCCUGGUGGUGAAAUUUGCCGAUACAGAUAAGGAGCGGACGCUGCGCAGGAUGCACCAGAUGGCUGGCCAGCUCGGCAUCUUCAGCCCCAUGACCAUCCAGUUCGGGGCCUAUGGAGCUUACACACAUGCUCAGAUGAUGCAGCAGCAGGCCGCUCUUAUGGCCGCCACACAGGGCUCAUAUCUCAACCCCAUGGCAGCAAUCGCGGCAGCCCAGAUGCAGCAAAUGGCAGCUUUCAACGUCAACGGCUUGGUGGCUGCCCCUAUGACGCCCUCUUCAGGCACCAGCACACCUCCAGGGAUCAGUGCCACAGCAGUGCCCAGCAUCGCUGCUCCGAUUGGGGUGAAUGGUUUUAGUGCCCUCCCUCCACAGAGCAAUGGCCAGCCAGCCUCUGAACCCAUCUACACCAACGGAAUUCACCCUUACCCAGCACAGAGUCCAACAGUGACCGACCCUCUCCAGCAAGCAUAUGCGGGUGUGCAACACUAUGCAGCAGCCUAUCCUGCCGCCUAUGCGCCAAUCAGCCAAGCGUUUCCCCAGCAACCAGCCAUCAUCCCCCAGCAACAGCGCGAAGGGCCUGAGGGCUGUAACCUGUUUAUCUAUCACCUGCCGCAGGAGUUUGGAGACGCAGAGCUCAUGCAGAUGUUUCUGCCCUUUGGCAACGUCAUCUCUGCCAAAGUAUUUGUGGACCGGGCCACCAAUCAGAGCAAGUGUUUCGGCUUUGUGAGCUUUGAUAACCCAUCUAGUGCUCAGGCUGCCAUUCAGGCCAUGAAUGGUUUUCAGAUCGGCAUGAAAAGGCUCAAGGUCCAGCUGAAGCGGCCGAAAGAUGCCAACCGCCCUUACUGAUCCACCAACAUCCACAUCCAGGCAGGGCCAAUCAUAGCUCAAGACUGGCUGCCCUGUUGCCUAGCUACAUGAGCUUCAUGUCUACGCUCAGGGGGGGCAACAGUUACCCACGGCUGAUGAAGGACUACAACACCUUAUUUCCACAAGUGCAGUAUAAGUACAAAAGACUUCUUCGCUCUGCCACAUAUCAUGAAAGAAGAGUGGUCCCUUGAUUCUGUGGGAAAAUCGUCGAGAGAUGUUUGACUGGGUGACUAAAGGAACAAGGAGGAUUUCUUUCUUGGCUAAAUGUUUCUUUUUUUUUUCUCUCUCUUUUUUUCUUUUUUUUUUUUUUGCUUUGGCAUCUGUGGAAGCAAAUUUUACAGAGACCAACUUUUUUGCUGCUGUUUUUUAGACAAGAUGGGGGAAAAAAAUCUUUAUAGACACAUUAUGCUCAAAGCAUGCAUACACAGAUAUACAAUCACACAUGUAGACACGCAUAAACAAACCCUUUGCACUUAGGCAGACAUGCAUAAAACAAAAUGCAAUUCAGAAAGAAGCAUAUUUUGAAGUCCUCAUGUAAAUACUGAUAUCUCUAUUUACAAGCGCAUACAUAUACAAACACACAAACACAUACACACCAGCCUGCUGCCAUUUUGGUUUUUGUGCCUAAACAGGUGUUGUGGUCUGUGCCAGAAAGCUCUGGGGAGAUGGAAGAGUGAACGGUAAUCCAGGAUUAUUUACAUGCAUCAUUCCUUAGGAAAUAGGGACCAAAGGACUACACGCUUUUUAAAAGAAUAUAAAUAUAUAAAUAUAUACAUAUAUAUUUAAAAAAAAAAACAAUAACUCUUACCUUGUAGCUGCAAGUAUUACAAAAUAAAAAUAGUAGUAGAUGAAAGAAAUAAUUAAGUCAGUAUCUAGUGGCCUAUGUGAGGUUAAAGUUAAAGGAAAUAUUGAUUCUACAGAAAAAAAAAGAAAAAGUAAAAAAGAGUGAGAGAGAGAGCGAGAGAGAGAGCAAGAGAGAGAGAGAGUGAAAAAAUCAGAAAAAAAAAUGCGGUGGGGGCUGACGGUUCGGCAGCUGUUUUUGGUGCCGGGCUGUAGAGUAGACAUGUAGAUUAGAUUAUAGCAGUAGAUUUGCUAAUUUUUGCUGUUUUUUUAUUUUAAACAAGAAGAAAAUACUUGAACUUGUAAAGAAAGGAGGAAAAUGUACAAAAACUGAACAUAAAAAGAAGAAAAAAAGCAACAAAAAAUCUACAAAAAAAAAAAAAAAUCCAGUGUCUGUCCUGAUGGGCACCAAGCCUCUCUCCAGAACAUAUUUAACCAACGGAUAAUACAGCUCAUCACGAUCUCUUCACCACGCCAUCCGACAGCCACUAUGGAAUUGUUUGGAAGAGGAAAAAAAAGAGAAAGCAAACGUAAAAGGAGCGUCUCUAAAGUCUGUACUUGACAGGGUGCAGGCUUUCCAUAAGCCUUUUUGUUCAAGCGACAAUCCACUGUAAAGACCAAGCUACUGGAUAUGGUGUGUACUCUCUUCUUUUCUUUUCUUUAGUGUUUUAUUUUAUACUAUGACAGGGAGUGUGCUAUCUAGACACUUAUCUCAUGGUUGCUACUGCAGUGGAGAAAAAAAAGGAAGAAGUAAUCCUCAGAGAGUGGACUUAAUGAAGUAAGGGACGAAAGGAAGAGGACAAGGGAGUCGAUAGCUACAGAAACUGCCAAACGAACAGACUUGGUAUUCAAGAGGUAAUGAGUGCGGUGACAUUUUUUUUUUUCUAAGUAAGAAACAAAUCCAUUAGAAAUAACACCACGCCGAUCUGGGGAGGUCCGCUAAAGCCAUCGCAAACUUAGCGGAACGCUUGAGGUUACCAACAGAUGUGUCUUUUUUUCUCUUUUUUGCAGAUGUAUCCAGAACUUUUAUGGCAAAGGCAAAAACAACAAAAAAAAACAAAAAAAAAAAAUGCACUCGCAGCACUAACAGCUGAAAGCUUUUAGUCAUUAAGCUUUGCCGUAAUCCAAUGUAAAUGCAACACUAUUAAUAUGCUCUCCCUAAUGCCAUCUAUUACCAUAAGAUGGGGAAGGACUUUACCAUGGUCUGAACAACAGUCAUUCACCCUCUCCCAAGCCUGUAUUGCACUCAAAGGGGAAAAUGUUGUCAAUUAUCUCAAAAUUCAAUGUAGAGAACAUGCUCAUUAAUCAGAUAUUUGGGGUUUAUGUUCAUGAUUGUACUCCUUUAAGCAGUCACAGUUUUCUAUUUACCUGCAAUGCUGCCAACCAACCCUGGUUAUCUUUUCAUUUUAAAGGAAACUUGUUUAUUUUUAGGAGUUUUUUCGAGACAUCUUGUAAAUUUUCCACUAAAUUUUCAUCAGUUUAGCUGUUCACUGUAAAAAAAAAAAAAAAAAAAACAUAUUGAG